UAACCACUCACGCCUGGCGUGGUGUUGGGGCACGCGGUCCCGCGGCCCUCAAAUCCAGUGGCGGCGCCAGUGGGCUCUAAGCGUAGUAAUACUCCUUGCUAUAGGGUCCCCCUGGUUGCUCGCCAGAACCCCCCAUUUUUUCA
rnacentral:misc_RNA from 1 species